rnacentral:ncRNA from 1 species
AGAAGCUGAGGACGGAACAGGUAUCCGUCACCCUAUCUUCUUAUAGAUAGUUGGAGAUGCAGAUUACCACCUGCCUCUUCU